rnacentral:miRNA from 2 species
UAGGCCAGUGAUUUCACAGUACG